AAAAAGGCCGGAAUAGCUCAGUUGGUAGAGCAGAGGACUGAAAAUCCUCGUGUCC
rnacentral:tRNA from 1 species